CAUGGCCCUUGGUAAAUUGUGCCACCAAAUCAAUAAAUUGUCUUUCGGUUUGAGGUUUUUGAGCUCAUUAUCCAUUUCCCUGUAUAACAAUAAAAAUACGUUUUCUCCAGAACUGAGUGGCUUGAAAACAACCUGUUUGAAAAUAGCUCGCACUAUUUAUAAAAUAUUAAUCUCCUUUGUCUGACUAAUGGCGAGGAUCAAGUGUGCAGUGAAUCCCCUCAUUCGCAAUAUGCAAAUAUCCUGUUUGCAAAGUUUUAUCGCAAGUGCAAACCGCAGCGGUUGAUUGAACCCCCAAAAAAAUAUUAUCUCCACCUAAGUGGCUCUUGAUCAAGUGCAACUUGGAAAAAGCGUCGCUCUUAAAUCAAUAUCUUAUUGAGGAUCAGCAAUUAUCGGUAUUGGCUUAAAAGGGGAAUUUUGUAGUAGUGCGAUGUUUACAUUAAGGGGGGGCCACGCCCAGCAAAACAAACACGCGCUUCAACGAAAACCCCAUUGACUUGAGCAUCAAAUAAAAUAUUAAUUUUCGAAAUAUCAAGCUUUGGGGCAUGGGAUUACCCACGUAAAAGUGCAUACUUCAUUCGACUGGGGUGGUUUACCACACGGUGCAUACAAUGGACUCUACCAGUUAAACUGCGCCGAAUGGGGAUUCACCGUGAAUUAUUGAACCUUUAAGAGGCCGCGAACACACUUAUAAUGAUUAGACGAGUCGAGUCGAGCACAAGUGAUCAUUGUUCGUAUCAGAGAGAGAAUCAACCAGAACAUUCGCCCUUGAAGAUGGACAACAGGGCCAAUCAGAAGAAUCCCAACAACUGGAAAACCGAUGGCCAUCAGCAAAGACCGUCCGGCUGGAACAGUGCGCCCAAAGAGAAACGGGAAACGAGCAAGGCCGAACAGGACAACCGGUCGCAACAGAGGAAUCCCAACAACGACAAAUAUCAUGAUAGCAGACGAAACUGAAGGCGCAAGAAGGCUACAACCAGGCGAGCAGCCCACCAAUAAGAGAUCUACAAGAAUUAACGCCUCUACUCGCGCUUUUUAACACUGUAAAUAGAAAAUAAAGCAUCUACGUGAAA